UACGUAGGUGGCAAGCGUUGUCCGGAAUUAUUGGGCGUAAAGCGCGCGUAGGCGGGUUGGUAAGUCCGCUGUGAAAGCCCGGAGCUCAACUCCGGAGGGUCGGUGGAUACUGCCAGUCUUGAAGGUGCUAGGGGGAGAUGGAAUUACCGGUGUAGCGGUGAAAUGCGUAGAUAUCGGUAGGAACACCAGUGGCGAAGGCGGUCUCCUGGGGCAUUCUUGACGCUGAGGCGCGAAAGCUGGGGGAGCGAACGGG
rnacentral:rRNA from 1 species